UCAACUCUCCCACUUGUCUCUGACUGGAGCUGCAGGCUAGGAAGGCCAAGAGCAGCCGCCACGGGGCAUCCUGCAAGCCUGCCCCUCACCAUGCUCCACGGCCCAUCCCACCCAAUGCUGGCUAGGCGAGCAGUCGUGCUCAUCUACCUGGCCUGGAACACCUACCAGGGCCUGGCCAUCCCUCAGGUUGCAGAAUGUGGCCUCUCCUGCUCUCAGGGCUUCACCUGCAGGAGCCGCAUGACCCGGGAUAUUUUCAACAGCUUCUGCCGGCCACCCCCCAUGUCCAUGUCCAGGUCGGUCCUGGGGACCCUGACACUGUCAACUGCCAUGAGAUGUACCCCGCAUGGCAGCUGCUCCCUGCUCCUGCUCAUGCACGCCUCCCUCACGAUGCACGAGAGCCUUCGGGGCCUAGAGGCCUGCUCCAUGAGCCUGGACACCCAGGAGACACAGUGUCAGAGCGUGCGGGUCUCCCGUGCCUCCCGACGGCUGCAGGCAGGGCGGCAGCUCCAGGUGCACUUGGACUGCUUUGAAGUGAGCGUGGCCCAGAGCCUCUACGUCACCCUGAGGAGUGUCCCGCACUUCUGCGGCGUCCAGCUGGAGCAGCAGUACCAAGUGGAAGGCUGCGGGGACGAGCACGUGGGAAGGAGCAUGCCCGACUGCUUUGCCGGGAAUCUCUCCUACUGGGUGGACCGCAGCCGCAAGGUCAUUCUAGUGCAGGUGCCCGAGGCCCCUGGGGGCCCCGACUACUACGUGCGCCUCUGCCUCAAGUGGUUCACCUGCGCAGAGGAGGGCGCCCUGGUGCAGGUGACAACAAACAGGGCCUCCAGGACGGUCUCUCUGCCCUACAGCCAAGAGCUGCCCUGCCUGUGCCUUGAGGGCUGGUCUGCCACCCCUGAUGCUGUGCGGAUCCAGAUCUGCCCCUUUGAAGCCGACACUGAGGCGCUGUGGGACGCCAUCCGCUACCACCCUGGCAGCCAGGCGCUGAGCUGGGAGCCAGCCUGCCCCGUGAGUGGCCACGUGAGCCUGUGCUGGCGCCCGAGGCCAGGGGCCCAGUGCCGAGAGCUAGAGCACUCAGGCCGGCCUGCCCACGGCAGGGUGCAGUACCCACUGGUGGACACGCAGCCCCAGCUCUGCCUGAAGUUCUCCACCAGCCUGGGCUUCUGGCCUGGCAGAUGGCCGUCCAGCCCGCACCCUCUCGGGGCCACCUCCGGGUCUUCUUCUUCUCGCACAGUCCCGCCCGAUUCCAGGUGCACCUAUGCCACAGAGGGAAGACGUGGCCCCCUGUCUGCCACCGAGAGCUCCAGGCCACCUCCCUCCCUCCAGCCUCAGGUGACCUCACAGCUGACCCUGCAGUUGCCUUCGUGGACAUCCUGGAGGAGGAGGCCUGUGUACCCCACACCUGCAUCCAGGGUCGGAGGACCGAUGUGCGCUUCUCUGCACCCCAGCAGCUGUGUGACCUCCGCUGCAGAACUCACGAUGGCCUCCCACCCGCCUUUGCCCACCCAGCCACGGAGGCCCAGAUCCCUGGAACCUCUGACUUGGCAGGAGACAGCUAACAAUGUGGGCCUGAGCUGCCACCCAGGUGUCUCAUGCAGAACAAGAAAGCAUGCCAGAUGGACUGCUGGGGUGUGGCGUGGGGGACAACUCACCUCCAGGCACCCCAAAGCUCUGAGAGCAAAGGCCAGGUCUCAGCAUGGGGGUGGUCUCACCCGACCCCAGGCUGUGGGCUCAGGCUCCUCCCAGCUCUCCAGAGGCCUGCAGCUCGUGGGAUUCCUCGGGCCGGACGUUGGGGGUGGGGGCCGGAUUCAGGUCAGAUGAAGGACCUUCAGCCCCUUCCUGAACCCACUGGGUGGGGGCCAACCAAAUAGCUGGGCAGCCUGCCCCCUUCCCCAGGCGGCCCAGCCCCUGCCCUGCCCUGCCUCGGCCUGGUCCCGUCUCCCUCUGGGCAGCCCGUGAUCACCUCACCAUCCUUGCCCUGAGGACGAGUACUAGCCCCUGCCCAGUGACUGCCAGAGCUGCCCUGGGCUUUCUGAGGCUGGCCAGCCCCUGGUGACCCAGGGCCACGUCCAGCGUGUGCCAGAGUGCCUCGCAGCUGUCCCUCUGACCCCGCUGAGAACCCAGGGUCCUGCAUGCCACCCAGAGCCCCCCACCCCCGCACCGACCCUCCCAGAGGGUCAGGCCAUGUCCCACUCUCCAGCCGCCCAGCUUGUCCAGGCCAGUGUCCAGUGGCCUUGGGGCCCCCAUCUGCAGCCACGACCAAGGACCACAGAGGGACCCCUAGCCCUUUAGUGGACUCCCCUGCCCCACACCAGGCGUCACAGCUGGCCCACCAGGUCUGCCUUCCCAGAGGCCACCCUGAGCUGCCCCGGCUCCUUUGUCCCUCGCUCAGCCCGCCGCGGCCACUGGGCCUUCUCUUCCUCCCUUAAUGGGGGCUGCUGUCCCCAGCAGACUAGGGGUGGGCGAGACCUUGUCUGCUCAGUAAACACCUGUCCGCCUGGUUCGCCUCUUCCCUUGACGGCAAGGAUGGGGUCCGCAGAGCAAGUAUCCCCUUGGUGCAGGUCGGGGGGAGGGUCACAGUGAGGGACGCUUGUUAAAGUGGGCGAAGGUUGUGACUGCCGCCUGGGGUGAGGCCAACUGUGGGCGGUGGAUGGCGCCUGCCUACCCCCACCGCGUAUGAGCUCCCGGGCUGCGCCUGAGGACGUCCUCUGGGCUGGAGACACCAACACCCCAACAGAGUGCCUCCCGGUGUGGGUGUGGGUGUGGGUGUGAGAGCGGUGUCCAGGCUGCCUCCCCAAGUUCAGCCCAAAGACCCACCCAAACCGUUGGAAAUGGGUGUCUGCCUCUUCUGGAACCUGCCAGUGUCCCCACAAAGGGGCUGCUGAGGGGCAUCCUGUGGGUGCUGAGACCUGGUCAGGCCAGGGGCUAGAAAGGAGUUGGGGAGUAGUGAGGGAGGACCUCCCGGAGGUGGAGGCCAAGCCCUCAGGCUCCAGGUACCCCCUGUACCCCAGGUCAGGGUCGCAGCCAGCAGGCUGGGGCUCCACACUCGGCAUGUUUCCUCAUUGCAGGCCUUCCUCUGCAGACCCCUGCCCCCCCAGGUGCCUCUCCCUGUUGGGGUACAGGGCUGGUGAGGAGACCAGAGUUCUGGCUCUAGGUGGGCAGCCUGGCACCAAGUUGCGGCUCCGCCGUCCUGGACCACACAGGAGCCCCUGGCAGUGCACAGACACCCCCCUCUCUGAGCAGGGCUCCCCCGGGAAUCCUUGCCCACCUGGAGGUGGAGAAGGGGGAGGAUCUGCAUGAGGGGUUUGCGGAGCUGCCCGGGUGCAGGCUCCUUCAGGGCUUCGCCACAGACUGCCAUCCCAGAAGGGGAAACUGAGGCUCAGGCGGAGGCCAUGACUGAGCUCCUGUCCAGGGCCAGGGAAGCUCAGGCUACAGGGCAUGGGGUGGGGAGGGCGUGUGCAGGUCCCAGCUGCCCAGCAGUCCCCACGGGCUGCUGCCAAGCGUCCAUGGAGCUCAGUGCUGGAUUCUGAGCUGGGCCAGGUUUUGAGACCACACCCAGCGCGCCAGGGCCCAGCAGGCCCACUCCCUUGCCAGCAACACCUCCCCCAGGCCGCACCUGCUCAGGAGGAAGGUGCUGAUGAGCCGCCCCGGAUGGGGGGUGAGUAAGGGCGGAACCACACCAGGUUCACGGACAAGCUGGGGUGAGCCUGCGGACGUCCCUCCCCGUUCAUUCCUCAAGCAAGUGCUGAGCCCAGAGCCACGCUGACCCAGCGCUGGAGCAAACAGCCCAGACGGACUGAGGGGCUGACCUCUGGUCAGCACCUGGAGCUGACCUUUGCAUGGGGCAGGCAGACCACAGGAGGCUACCUGUGUGGAUUAUAUGGGCUGCCCAGCGCCAGCAUGAGGCCAGGCAGAAGGGGGCUGGGGAAACAAACGGGAAGUGUGGGAGGGGUUCCAGCUAGAACAGGGUGGUCCCAAGACAGGUGAGUGGACGGUGCAGAGGGGAGAGGCUGAGAGCUGCCUGAUUCUAGCAGGAUCGGCAGGUGCACGGCGGGGUGUGGCGGGCAGGUGGGGCCGUGGGGUGUCCUCGUGUGCACCGUGGGUACAGCAAACAGAUCAACGCUCUGGCCUCAGCGACUGGAGGGCGGAGCUCCGUGGGCGGAUGUGGACGCGGCAGCGGGCACGGGCUGUGGACACGGUGAGUUCAGGCCGCCCGCGAGGCAUUCAUUUGUUCGCUCAUUUGGCAUUGCUGAUGUGGCCUGCUGUUUGCUCCCUCCCAGUGUACAAGGGGCAGCUCAAGGCAGAGGGGAGAGUCCUGCACGCUACAAGGAUGAUGUACAGAGGGCCCUUCAGAAGGAAAAAGUAGAGCAGGACGAAGGGGAGGAGACAGUCGCGGGGGCAGAGUGGCCCGGCGGGUCUCCUGCAACAGCGAGAAGGAGAUGAGGCCGCCUGUGGACGUAGUUGGGACAAACCGAUGAAAAGAAAGUCUCCCACCAACCUGGCAGGCACAACCCUUUCCAUAUGUGACCUCAAGGGAAACAGUGACGUGUCCUCAAGAGCCUCCCACAUAAAGCCUAUCCUGUGCGAAGACAGAGCCAGCCCAGCCCUCCCCGGCCGCUCUGCGCUCCGAUGCCCCAGCCCAGCCUCGCUUCCGGCCUGUCGGUGUCUGUGUACCUGAAGAUUUUUAAUAUCCAUCCCACUGCCUUCCGGUCUGCAAGGAGUCUAAGGAGAAAUCUGCUGGGGAAUCUUGCCAAAGAGCCCAUGUAUGUGACCAGUCACCUCCUUUGCUGCUUUCAAGAUUCUCUCUGGCUUUAGCUUUUGACAAUUUGACGUGUGUCUUGGCAUGCAUCUCCCUGACUAUUAUCAAUGCUGUCUCUCUCAAAACCCCAAUGAUGUUUUUUGAAGAAAUAGAAAAAAAAUUUUAUCCUAAAAUUCAUAUGGAAUCACAAGGGACCUGAAUAGACAAAAUAAUCUUGAAAAGGUACAAAGUUGGACUCACAUUUCCUGAUUUCAAAACUUACUAUGAAGCUACAGUGAUCAAGCGAAUGCGGUUCUGGUACCUGGACAGACAUCCUUGCUCAGAGGAAGGCAGCUGGGCCUCAAGAGCUAAAAUCUCAUACAUAUGGUCAAUCGAUUUUCAACAAGGUGGAAAGAUUAUUUCAAUGGAGAAAGGACAGACUUUUCAACAAGUGGUGCUGGGGAAACUGGACGUCCACCCUUAGGCAAGUGUCCGUCUAGAAGCGGAUGGAUAAACAAAAUGUGUAGACAUACGAUGCAAUAAUGGACCAACUUAAAAAGGAAUGAAGUUCUGAUAGAACAUGGACGAACCCUGAACACAUUACAGCAAGUGAAAUAAGCCACCCACAAAGGGCCACAUAGUGUAUGUGUGAUUCCACUUGUAUGAGCAACCUGGAAUAGGCAGAUUGAUGGCUGUGUGAUAGAGAUUAGAGGCUAUGUGGGCCCCGGGAGGCGGGAGUUACUGUUUCAGGGGUACAGUUUCUGUUCGGAAUGAUAAAAAAUGUUCUGGAAAUAGAUGGUGAUGAAAGCUGUACAACACUGUAACUAUAUUUUAUGUCCUUACAUUGUACUUUUAAAAAUGGUUAAAAUGGAAAUUUCUCUCUUAUGUAUAUUUUACCAAAAAAAAAAAAGAGGACUUGACAGCCUGGUGUGUGACUCGUAGUCCAUCCUAUAUUUACCUGGUAAUUGGGGUAGCCAUUCAAAUAAAAAAAAUCUGAAUGAUCAUAUGUCUGUGACAAGCGGGUAGGUAGGUACAACUUGGAGACAAGAGGUUAAGUCACAAUCCUACUAGGACAGGGAGGGGGUGCUGCGCACAGUGUGAUUCUUUCAAAGGGAUGACUGUGAAACUAUUGAGAAGCACAUUCCUGGGUUGUUACACUGGCCAGAGGCUUAUUUACCUUUUCAGAAGGUUUGCAUACAUCUCAAAGGGACAGAAAGUUUCACAAGUUUCCUGAAGCAAAUGCCCUAAGAAAAGGGAGGGAGGGG